rnacentral:lncRNA from 1 species
CGUGACUGAGGGCUGGCCAAUCACGGCACUGAAUUCCUCUUGCUAGCGAUUCAUGUAGUGAUUGAGUCACUCAGGUUCCUCCAAUAGCAAUGAACCAAGGACCUAAGUGGGACGUACCAGGGAGAUAUUUUCCUCCUGAAGUUACUUACCGAAAUGGUGACGUGAGCCUGGAAUGGCCAGGAGCCACUACAUAGUACCUAAAAUAAACCCACACUGCGGGAGGCAGAGCUAAGACAGAGAAAAAUGGAAUUCUGAAGAUAUUAUUAGAGCUGCUAUCAAUCUGGCCCUAGCCCCGAACUUUUCAAUUACUUGGGCCAAUAGAUUUUCUCCUCCCACCCCAUCUUCUUGGCUGAAGCCAGUUUGAAUUAGUUUUUGUCUUUUGCCACCAACACUGAAAGAGUUUUGAUAUAGAGACGGAUGAAAAGACAGCAUUCCUGAUCCUGAGGCGGCAGACGUAAACUCAAGUGUGAGAAAUUGUUGGGAAGAUUGAAAGAGCAGAUUCGAGGAGGCUAUGCUUCAAGAGCAGCUUUCCAGAACCACACCACAGGACUGGCUGCUUCUGGGCCCCACAGCCACGAUGCCUCUGCACCAAUCAGGAAGCUGCUGGUUUUAGAAUAACCAAAUGUCUCCACCCGUGUUUGCCAGUAAAAUCAUCUCCCUAUGCCUGGUUUCCUCCUCAUCAGGCUUCAUUUUUCCUUCCAUGUUUUGUGAGGAGUCUGUCAUUACUUUUUGCCAUUAAAAGUAAUGGCAAAAUCCGCAAUUACUUUUGCACCAGCCUACUACCUUCCCAAGAGGGGACCUAGCUGUCUGGGAGUCUGGGAAAUGUAGUUUUUAGCUUUCAAGAUUUUAUUACAUAGGAAGAAGGUUAGGAUGAAUGUUGAGUAAACCAAUCUGCAAUAUUUAGCCCAGUAUUUAUUUUAUUUUAUUUUAUUUUUCUGAGACAGGGUCUCAUUCCCAUCAUCCAAGAUAAAGGGCAGUGGUGCAAUCACAGUUCACUGCAGCCUUGACUUCCCAGGCUCAGGUGAUCCUCCUAUCUCAGCCUCCUGAGUAGCCAGGACUAUAGCUGCAUGCUACCACAUUUGGCUAAUUAUAUAUAUAAUAGCAAAUAUAAAUAUAUAGUAAAACUAAAUGUAAUAUACACAUUUAGUAAAUACAGGGUUUUGCCAUGUUGCCCUGGCUAGUCUUGAACUCCUGGGCUCAAGCAUCCUGUCUGCCUCUGCCUACCAAAGUGCUGGGAUUACAGGCAUGAGCUACUAUGCCUGGCCCAUUGCCCAGUAUUUUAUUCUGAUCAUAUAAUCUACACGUUUGCCAUUUUCAGUAACCACACAUUUAUUCUUUAUAAAUUCAUUCAUUCAUUCAGUCAGUCAGUCAGUCACUCAUCAAGUGUCAGGCAGCAUGCUAGGUGCUAUGUAUCAAAGAUGAUGAAGUUAAUGUCUGCGUGGGUGGUGGAAUUUCAGAAGAUGAGGGCCAAUAGCAAAGCCAAUUGUGGAGUACUGGAGGGUGCUGACAGCCACUUCUCAUGGCCAAUCUGUUAUUUCCAUGGAAGAUUGCAGUCUCCAUGUGGUCAGAUCCCCCCACAGUCAAGCGAAGCCAAAGUCUAAAAUUUCAUGCAAAUUCUUUUUUUUUUCUUGUAACACAGAUUGUAUUUAUUUGUAGAGACAGGGUCUUGCUAUGUUUCCCAGGCUACUUUCAAACUCCUGGCCUUAAGUGAUCCUCCCACCUUAGCCUCCCAAAGUGCUAGAAAUACAUGAAUUCUUCAGAUCCUUAAAAAUCAAUGGUUCUUAAUACUAGCUGGACGUCAGGAUAACCAGGGUAUCUUUUAAAAAUUACUGAUGUCUACCCCAGCCUAAUCAUGAAAAAAACAUUAAACAAAUCCCAAAUGAGAGGCAUUGUACAAACACCUGACCAGCACUCCCCAAGACUGUCUUGAUCAUCAAAUCCAAGGUAAGUCUGAGAAACUAUGAUGACCAAGAAGAGCCCAAGGAGACACACCAGAUAAAUAGAAUGUGGUGUCCUAGAUGGGAUACUGGAACAGAAAAGAUCAUCAGGGAAGAACUGAGGAAAUCUGAAUAAAGUAUGAUAUUGGUUAAUAAUAAUGUGUAAAUAUGAGUUUAUUAAUUGUGACAAAGGUAGUAUACUAAUGUAAGAUGUUAAUAAGAGAGGAAACUGAAUGUGGGGUAUAUGGAAACACUCUGUAUUGUCUUUGCAAUAAUUGUGUAAAUCUAAAACUGUUCUAAAGUAAAAAGCUUACUAAAAACAGAUACUGACAUCUAGGACCCUUCCCAGGCAGAUUGAAGCUCAAUCAUUAAGGGGGUGGGAUUCAAACACUGACAUGUUUCGGAAAGUGUUCCAGGUGGUUCUAGUGUGCAGUUGGGGUUGAGGAUUAGUGCUUUACAUUUGGCACUAACUUAUAUAUUUUAAAAACACUGUAAUGGUAAAAUAAAACAUCUGUGGGGCCAUAUGCAGCCUGUCGCCACCAGUUUGGGAAUUCUGCUCUAUGCUUUCAAGAAAAUGAUAGUAUAGCUUGGGAGAAACACAUCAUCAAAUACACGGGUAAUGACUGAAACUUCUAUAGCCUGUGAGGAGUCCCCAAGAAGGAGCAGUGGUGCCAGUGGGAGAGGAAAAGGUGGCGGUGGUCUGAGUAACUGAGAUGACAUUCCUGAAGCACCUCCUGACGUAUUUUCCCAUUGAUCACCUAUUUCCUUUCCUUGCACCUUGCCUGCUAUCAUUGUCCUGCAGACGUGGAGUGGGGGAAGUAAAUAGAAUCUCGUGAAAGAGAAGGACUGAUCAGGCUUGCUUCUCAAAGGGUGGUCAUUGAGCAGCCUGGUUGGCAUCACCAGGGAGCUUGUUAGAAAUGCAGACUCUCAGGCCAGAUUCCAGAAUGAUUGAAUUGGAGUCUGCAUUUUAAUAGGAUCCUAAGGCGAUUUAUAUUCACUGAUGUAGAGGGCUCUUGUAAAUCAGGAAGGGAGAUUAGAAACCCAUUCCAGCACUAACAGAAGGCACCCAGGAGAGAGGAGAAAAAGGGCAAGAGUUUUUAGUGAUGAAUGUUGGACUCCUCCUUCAGAGUUGAGGAGGGUGUAGAACACCCAGGUAGUUUUGUGGCAAUGCAGAAUAUUGGGGUAGAUUCCUGCUUCUUUGGACAUUAUUUGGGGGUAAUUCAUCACAUCACCACAUCCAAUAUGACACAAGAACAGUAGAAUAGCAUUGGCAGAGGACAAAUCUAAAUAUAGGGGUGUGAGACAGUGCACCAGGUGCCUACAGCCUGCACACAGCACUGAAGACACCCAGAAGCUCCAGCAGCCUCAGUGCAGGGCUCUAAAAGAGUGGAAGGAUAGGGGCCAGAAAAGCUUCCUGGGCUCAGAAAUGAGGAGGCUUCAGAAUAUGGGGCUUCUCAACCAGGGAUGCCAGAGGUCUUGGAUUUCUGAUGAUAUCAUCACAAUAGUUAAAACAAACCAAGCUGGACAAGCCACAUCUCAGCAGCUACCACUUCAGGAUAUUCAGAAACCUGCUAAGGCAAAUGACAUGUCGACACAGCCAGGGAGGAAUCUGAAGCAUGUCACCUCACUGGAAUGAAGAGACGUAUUUUUCUGCAUCUAGAUGCCAUCUUGGGAAGUGUUGGAAGUGCAUGAGUUCCUUUGAAAGGAAAGAAAUUGGCUGGGCACGGUGGCUCAUGCCUGUAAUCCCAGCAUUUUGGAAGGCCGAGGUGGGCGGACCACUUGAGAUCAGGAGUUUGAAACCACCAGCCCGGCCAACAUAGUGAAACCCUGUCUCUACUAAAAAUACAAAAAUUAGCCGGGCAUGGUGGUGGGUGCCUGUAAUCCCAGCUACUUGAGAGGCUGAGGCAGGAGAAUUGCUUGAAACCAGGAGGCGGAGGUUGCAGUGAGCCAAGAUUGUGCCACUACACUCCAGUCUGGGCAACAGAGUGAGACUCCGUCUCAAAAAAAAAAGAAAAAGGAAAGAAAUUGUUUAAUAAAAUGUUGGAUCUUCUGGUCUCAGGAGGAGGUUCUCUGUCUUCCUUAAAGUAACAGUUUUAAAGCUAAAGAAACAGAAUUACAUUUAAUGGACAAGUUGGGUUGCUCCCACUCCACUACCCCUAUUAUUAGCAGAAAUAAUACAAUAGAAAGAAAAUAAAUAAAAUCACACAUUUUUGCAUACCUUAGUGGAAGUGCAUGUCUUUCAACCCUGCUACAUUAGGAGGGGUAUAUGAGGACUUGAAAGUUGAGUUAAGCUUAAAAGAUGAGGAGACUUUGUCAGGAGGAUGAGAAGGCCAGGAAAGGCAAUCUAGGCAGAGCACAGGGUUGUAAAGAGCAUGAUGGACUCGUCGAAUUGUAAACAGUCCAGAUGGUUAGCGAAUAGGGUGUGUGAGGGUGAAGAAACAAACUGGUAGGUAGGGUCGGGUCUUGGAGGACUUUGGACGCCAUGCUGUUUGGAUUUUAACUUAUAGGCAAUCAUGGGGAGGGGGACGGGGAGGUUUGAAUUUCAGAAUUAGCGCUGUGGCACCACUGUGGAAGAUGAGUUGGAGGAGGGUGACAUUGGAGGCUGAAACAAGUUAGGAAGCUAAUACAUGGGAGAGGGCUGGAAUAAGGUAAAGGAAGAAUUCUUGGGUUUCUCUGUUGGGUUACUGUUUGGGUGGUGCUGUUAUUCGCUGAGUCAGUGCAUGUAAGAGACAAGAGAGACUUCGCGUGACAUUUACAGUCACCCGGUGUAGGCAUCACCCACUGUUGGGCAUUUGGGUAUGUGCAGCUGCUGUUUCUAACAUCUUCCUAUUAAAAUGUCGCCAUGAACAUUCUUGUAUGAAUUAUUUUUAAAAUUUGGAAGUUUGGGGGGAAUGGGAUUAUAUAUCUAAAUUAUUUUUAUUUUGUCAACUUGCAAAAUCAUUUUGUACUGCUUUUUAUUUUAUUUUUUUCAGACAGGGUCUCUCCCUGUCACCCAGGCUGGAGUGCAGUGGUGCGAUCUCUGCUCAAUGUAGCCUCGAUCUCCUGGGUCCAAGUGAUUCUCCCAUCUCAGCCUCCUGAGUAGCUAGGACUGCAGGCAGGCACCACCAUGCUCAGUUAAUUUUUUUAUUUUUUGUACAGAUGGAUCUCCCUGUGUUGCCCAGGCUGUUCUCAAACUCCUGGGCUCAAGCGAUUCUCCCACCUCAGACUCUGAAAGCGUUGGGAUUAUAGGUGUGAGCCACCAUGCUUCACCUUAUAAUGCUUUCAAAUAUUGCCUGACUGCUUUCUGGAAAGGCAUACCACUCUAUAGCUUACCAACUAUUGUUAGUACACUUGUCUGUAUACAGUCCCAAUUGUAAAAAAUAUACAGGUUUUUUUAAAAUAACUAUAAAAAUAUACAGAUUUUGUAUAACUGUAAAAAAUACCAGAUUUUUAUAAUAUGAAUCAAUGUUAGCUUGUUAAAAGGUAAAUUGAAACACAAUAACAUUUUAAAGAGUUUAAUUGAGCAAACAGUAAUUCAUGAAUUGGGAAGCGCCAAACUGAAAGAGGUUUUUGGGCUCUGCUGAAGUGUCAAGAACAGACUUUUAUAGAGUGAAUUUGUAAGUAAUACAAAGAAAAUAUUUGGUUGGUUACAGUUAUAAAGUUGCCUUACUUGAUCUAUCCCUCUGGAAAGUCCCUAGUUAUAUAAUUUAAUUUUGCUGGCUGCUUCCAAUUGGUUGAGCUUAAGUUCUGCUUUUCUUUGACAUAAGUAUUUGCAAGACAUUGCUCAAGCUAAGUUUGGCUUAUGUUAACAAAUCAAGCAAGGUUAGUCACUCAUCGGGCCUAAUUAGCUUUGUCUGCUCAGGGGUUCUUCAGGUCUCGUUUCCAUUUUAAUUUACUGCAACAACCUAAUUUCAAAGAUGGAUCCUAAAGGUAUUUAUCUAUUUAUUUAUAGAUAGGGUCUUGUUCUGUCACCAGGCUGGAGUGCAGUGGUGUGAUCAUGACUCACUGCAGCCUUGACCUCCUGGGCUAAAGCAAUCCUCCCACUUCAGCCUCUUGAGUAUCUGGAACCACAGGUACCCACCACAACACCUGGCUAAUUUAAAAAUUUUUUUUGUAGAGACAGGGUCUUCCUAUGUUGCCCAGCUGGUCGUCUCAAACUCCUGGGCUCAAGCAGUCCUCCCACCUCAGCCUUCCGAGUAGCUGGGACUACAGGCACACCACCAGGUCUGGCUGAUAUACUUUUUAUUUUUUGUCAAGACAUGGGUCUCACUAUGUUGUCCAGCCUGGUCUUGAAUGACUGGCCUCAGUUGAUCCUCCUGCCUUGGUCUCCCAAAGUGUUGAGAUUACCGGUGUGAGUCCCUGCACCCGGCCUGAGCAUUUCUAAUGUUCUAUGCUAAGUGUAAUAGUUAUUAUCAGUUUUAAAUAUAUAUUCUUUAUCAUAUUAAGAAAGAAGAAUUCCUAGGGG